UACGUAGGGUGCGAGCGUUAAUCGGAAUUACUGGGCGUAAAGCGUGCGCAGGCGGUUUUGUAAGCCAGAUGUGAAAUCCCCGGGCUUAACCUGGGAAUGGCAUUUGGGACUGCAAGGCUGGAGUUUGGCAGAGGAGACUGGAAUUCCUGGUGUAGUAGUGAAAUGCGUAGAGAUCGGGAGGAACACCAGAGGCGAAGGCGGCAUCCUGGACCAACACUGACGCUGAGGAGCGAAAGCCAGGGGAGCAAACGGG
rnacentral:rRNA from 1 species